rnacentral:rRNA from 1 species
GAUGAACGCUGGCGGCGUGCCUAAUACAUGCAAGUCGAGCGAACGGACGAGAAGCUUGCUUCUCUGAUGUUAGCGGCGGACGGGUGAGUAACACGUGGAUAACCUACCUAUAAGACUGGGAUAACUUCGGGAAACCGUAGCUAAUACCGGAUAAUAUUUUGAACCGCAUGGUUCAAAAGUGAAAGACGGUCUUGCUGUCACUUAUAGAUGGAUCCGCGCUGCAUUAGCUAGUUGGUAAGGUAACGGCUUACCAAGGCAACGAUGCAUAGCCGACCUGAGAGGGUGAUCGGCCACACUGGAACUGAGACACGGUCCAGACUCCUACGGGAGGCAGCAGUAGGGAAUCUUCCGCAAUGGGCGAAAGCCUGACGGAGCAACGCCGCGUGAGUGAUGAAGGUCUUCGGAUCGUAAAACUCUGUUAUUAGGGGAGAACAUAUGUGUAAGUAACUGUGCACAUCUUGACGGUACCUAAUCAGAAAGCCACGGCUAACUACGUG